CGAAAGUAAACCUAGGUCUUGCCCUAAACCCAGCGCACUGGUCUCUAACAUCUCAAAGGCAUGAUAUCGAAAGAUAAGAGAUUCUUAAACCACGCCUCUAUGUUUACGUUCGAUACCUUCAGCGUCCCCGCAGAGUUCACAUCUCGCGGAAGAACUCUCGAAACAGGUCUCGAAUAAAACAUUUCACAAUCGAAGAAGGAUAUGAGACGACAACUCAUCACCUUCCUCCCCCACUAUUCACAAAUUCAUAAAAAAACGUUAUCCGAUUAUCAUACCAUAAAGCCGCGGAGCGGCAGGGAUUCAAAGCCACACACGGCCAGUCCCGAAAUACAAACAAGGCCGUUCAAGGCCGAAGCAUAAAGACAUAAAAAAAAAAACAAAUCUCUCGCAAGAGAUCUAACCCAUGUCACCCUCAGAACUUACGCUCCCUCUUCACCCGUCGCCUCGUCCGAGCCUGGAGCCGCGUCGCUUCCGUUCUCUCCGACCAUCGGAUCUUUCCCCUCUGGGUCUUCUGGACACGUCGGAAGGAAGCAAGCGGAUUUUAGGUCGGCCAGGAUGAGACCGAAAUCGCCAUCCUCGGCCGCCAUAUCUCCCUUGCAGCCGGACAGUCGGGCCUCUUCGGCCUCCAAGGUCGGGGGAGUCUCACUUUGGAACGACCGAACCACGGCCAUCCCGCCCUCAAUCGUCGCCAAAGCGAAAUCCCUGCUCCGGAUACACUCGAGGGAACCCAGGGAAGCAGAAAUCUUUGCCAAGCGAGCCUGAAACUCCGCACGAAGGGCAUCCGUAGCCUCUUGGAUCCCGCGGCGCGCUAGUCCAGCGUCACUCUCGAUCUGACGCUGGAGUCGACGCACCUCCGAGGAUUUGGCCUUCCUGUUUUUCUUUUCC
rnacentral:lncRNA from 1 species